rnacentral:rRNA from 1 species
AAUGGGUCAGCGACUUAUAUUCUGUAGCAAGGUUAACCGAAUAGGGGAGCCGAAGGGAAACCGAGUCUUAACUGGGCGUUAAGUUGCAGGGUAUAGACCCGAAACCCGGUGAUCUAGCCAUGGGCAGGUUGAAGGUUGGGUAACACUAACUGGAGGACCGAACCGACUAAUGUUGAAAAAUUAGCGGAUGACUUGUGGCUGGGGGUGAAAGGCCAAUCAAACCGGGAGAUAGCUGGUUCUCCCCGAAAGCUAUUUAGGUAGCGCCUCGUGAAUUCAUCUCCGGGGGUAGAGCACUGUUUCGGCAAGGGGGUCAUCCCGACUUACCAACCCGAUGCAAACUGCGAAUACCGGAGAAUGUUAUCACGGGAGACACACGGCGGGUGCUAACGUCCGUCGUGAAGAGGGAAACAACCCAGACCGCCAGCUAAGGUCCCAAAGUCAUGGUUAAGUGGGAAACGAUGUGGGAAGGCCCAGACAGCCAGGAUGUUGGCUUAGAAGCAGCCAUCAUUUAAAGA